rnacentral:rRNA from 1 species
UACGUAGGGUGCAAGCGUUAAUCGGAAUUACUGGGCGUAAAGGGUGCGCAGGCGGUUCGGAAAGAGAGAUGUGAAAUCCCAGAGCUUAACUUUGGAACUGCAUUUUUAACUGUCGAGCUAGAGUGUGUCAGAGGGAGGUGGAAUUCCGCGUGUAGCAGUGAAAUGCGUAGAGAUGCGGAGGAACACCGAUGGCGAAGGCAGCCUCCUGGGAUAACACUGACGCUGAGGCACGAAAGCGUGGGGAGCAAACAGG